GACGAACGCUGGCGGCGUGCUUAACACAUGCAAGUCGAACGAUGAAGCGCAGCUUGCUGCGUGGAUUAGUGGCGAACGGGUGAGUAACACGUGAGUAACCUGCCCCAGACUCUGGGAUAACUCCGGGAAACCGGAGCUAAUACCGGAUAUGACGCUUGGCCGCAUGGUCGGGUGUGGAAAGUUGUUCGGUUUGGGAUGGGCUCGCGGCCUAUCAGCUUGUUGGUGAGGUAGUGGCUGACCAAGGCGACGACGGGUAGCCGGCCUGAGAGGGGGACCGGCCACACUGGGACUGAGAAACGGCCCAGACUCCUACGGGAGGCAGCAGUGGGGAAUAUUGCACAAUGGGCGCAAGCCUGAUGCAGCGACGCCGCGUGAGGGAUGACGGCCUUCGGGUUGUAAACCUCUUUCAGCAGGGAAGAAGCGGAAGUGACGGUACCUGCAGAAGAAGCACCGGCUAACUACGUGCCAGCCGCCGCAGUAAAAC
rnacentral:rRNA from 1 species